GUGCGCAGGCGGCGCGCCAAGUCAGCGGUCAAAGUUCCGGGCUCAACCCGGUGUCGCCGUUGAAACUGGCGUGCUCGAGUGCGUGCGAGGAAGGCGGAAUGCGUCGUGUAGCGGUGAAAUGCAUAGAUAUGACGCAGAACUCCGAUUGCGAAGGCAGGUUACCAAGUUACAACUGACGCUGAUGGACGAAAGCGUGGGGAGCGAACAGGAUUAGAUACCCUGGUAGUCCACGCUGUAAACGAUGCUAACUCGUUUUUGGGGUAUUAUACUUCAGAGACCAAGCGAAAGUGAUAAGUUAGCCACCUGGGGAGUACGAACGCAAGUUUGAAACUCAAAGGAAUUGACGGGGGCCCGCACAAGCGGUGGAUUAUGUGGUUUAAUUCGAUGAUACGCGAGGAACCUUACCAAGACUUAAAUGGGAAUUGACAGCUGUAGAAAUACGGUUUUCUUCGGACAAUUUUCAAGGUGCUGCAUGGUUGUCGUCAGCUCGUGCCGUGAGGUGUUAGGUUAAGUCCUGCAACGAGCGCAACCCCUGUCACUAGUUGCCAUCAUUAAGUUGGGGACUCUAGUGAGACUGCCUACGCAAGUAGAGAGGAAGGUGGGGAUGACGUCAAAUCAUCACGGCCCUUACGUCUUGGGCCACACACGUAAUACAAUGGCCGGUACAGAGGGCAGCUACACUGCGAAGUGAUGCGAAUCUCGAAAGCCGGUCUCAGUUCGGAUUGGAGUCUGCAACUCGACUCUAUGAAGCUGGAAUCGCU
rnacentral:rRNA from 1 species